rnacentral:rRNA from 1 species
AGUGAACGCUGGCGGUAGGCCUAACACAUGCAAGUCGAACGGCAGCACAGUAAGAGCUUGCUCUUACGGGUGGCGAGUGGCGGACGGGUGAGGAAUACAUCGGAAUCUACUUUUUCUUGGGGGAUAACGUAGGGAAACUUACGCUAAUACCUCAUACGACCUACGGGUGAAAGCAGUGGAUCUUCGGACCUUGCGCGAUUGAAUGAGCCGAUGUCGGAUUAGCUAGUUGGCGGGGUAAAGGCCCACCAAGGCGACGAUCCGUAGCUGGUCUGAGAGGAUGAUCAGCCACACUGGAACUGAGACACGGUCCAGACUCCUACGGGAGGCAGCAGUGGGGAAUAUUGGACAAUGGGCGCAAGCCUGACCCAGCAAUACCGCGUGGGUGAAGAAGGCCUUCGGGUUGUAAAGCCCUUUUGUUGGGAAAGAAAAGCAGCAGGUUAAUACCCCGCUGUUCUGACGGUACCCAAAGAAUAAGCAACGGCUAACUUCGUG